CACACAUUUUUAUUCUAUUACAUACAAAAAAGGUAAAAUAUGGCUAGAAUUUUCAAUUUGAUUUAUGUUAUGGUCCUCUUUCUUUCAUUGUUUAUUAUUCUAACAAACGGCGAUGUUAAAUGCGACACUGACGAUGAUUGUCGAGAUUAUUUGUGUGCACGUCCUACAGUUGGAAAGUGUAUUUAUGAUUAUUGUCACUGUAUUGUUAUGAUAACAAUAGACGAAAAGCUAAGUCAUCAAAGUGGAAUCAACAAAGUUGUUAGAGAAAAUGGACAUGUGUCAAUUGAUCCAACAAUUAAGGAAAUAAAGCUAAGAGAAAAUAUUCUUUGAACCCUCUAUAAAAGGAAGAAAUGAUUAGAAAAAAAGUGUCUAGAAAAAUUAUUAGAAUCACUCUCACAAAUUGUACUACAUUAUCUUCAUUUGUACUAUUUUAAUCCAAAGUUUAUUGAAUAAAAAACUUGAGUGCUUCACUUCUUUUGAAGCCUUUAAUA